UACGUAGGGUGCAAGCGUUGUCCGGAAUUAUUGGGCGUAAAGGGCUCGUAGGCGGUUUGUCGCGUCGGGAGUGAAAACACGGGGCUUAACCCCGUGCCUGCUUCCGAUACGGGCAGACUAGAGGUAUGCAGGGGAGAACGGAAUUCCUGGUGUAGCGGUGAAAUGCGCAGAUAUCGAGAGGAACACCUGCGGCGAAGGCGGGUUGCUGGGCUGAUACUGACGCUGAGGCGCGAAAGCCAGGGGAGCGAACGGG
rnacentral:rRNA from 1 species